UACGUAGGCAGCAAGCGUUGUUCGGAGUUACUGGGCGUAAAGGGUGCGUAGGCGGUCCUAUAAGUAUGGUGUGAAAUCUCCCGGCUUAACUGGGAGGGUGCGCUAUAGACUGUGGGACUAGAGUGUGGGAGAGGAAAGUGGAAUUCCUGGUGUAGCGGUGAAAUGCGUAGAUAUCAGGAGGAACACCGGUGGUGUAAACGGCUUUCUGGACCAUAACUGACGCUGAGGCACGAAAAGCGUGGGGUAGCAAACAGG
rnacentral:rRNA from 1 species